rnacentral:rRNA from 1 species
AGAGUUUGAUCCUGGCUCAGGAUGAACGCUAGCUACAGGCUUAACACAUGCAAGUCGCAGGGUAACGUGAGGGAAGCUUGCUUCCCUUGACGACGACUGGCGCACGGGUGAGUAACGCGUAUCCAACCUUCCCAUGACCACGGGAUAACCCGUUGAAAGACGGACUAAUACCGUAUGACGUCGUUUGCUGACAUCAAAUAACGAUUAAAGGUUUAGCGGUGAUGGAUGGGGAUGCGUCUGAUUAGCUUGUUGGCGGGGUAACGGCCCACCAAGGCGACGAUCAGUAGGGGUUCUGAGAGGAAGGUCCCCCACAUUGGAACUGAGACACGGUCCAAACUCCUACGGGAGGCAGCAGUGAGGAAUAUUGGUCAAUGGGCGAGAGCCUGAACCAGCCAAGUAGCGUGCAGGAUGACGGCCCUAUGGGUUGUAAACUGCUUUUAUGCGGGGAUAAAGUGCGCGACGUGUCGUGCAUUGCAGGUACCGCAUGAAUAAGGACCGGCUAAUUCCGUGCCAGCAGCCGCGGUAAUACGGAAGGUCCGGGCGUUAUCCGGAUUUAUUGGGUUUAAAGGGAGCGUAGGCCGCCAGGUAAGCGUGUUGUGAAAUGUACCGGCUCAACCGGUGAAUUGCAGCGCGAACUGUCUGGCUUGAGUGCACGGUAAGCAGGCGGAAUUCAUGGUGUAGCGGUGAAAUGCUUAGAUAUCAUGAAGAACUCCGAUUGCGAAGGCAGCUUGCUGCAGUGCGACUGACGCUGAUGCUCGAAGGUGCGGGUAUCAAACAGGAUUAGAUACCCUGGUAGUCCGCACGGUAAACGAUGGAUGCCCGCUGUCCGCCCCUUUGUGGCGGGUGGCCAAGCGAAAGCGUUAAGCAUCCCACCUGGGGAGUACGCCGGCAACGGUGAAACUCAAAGGAAUUGACGGGGGCCCGCACAAGCGGAGGAACAUGUGGUUUAAUUCGAUGAUACGCGAGGAACCUUACCCGGGCUUGAACUGCCG